AAAACUCAUAUGAACCUCAAAAA
rnacentral:snRNA from 1 species